AACGUAGGUGGCAAGCGUUAUCCGGAUUUACUGGGCGUAAAGCGUGUGCAGGCGGGGGUACCAUUGGUGUAUGAAAGCCCCCGGCUCAACUGGGGAGGGUCAUUCGAUACUGUUCGACUCGAAGGCAGGAGAGGGAAGCGGAAUUCCCGGUGUAGUGGUGAAAUGCGUAGAUAUCGGGAGGAACACCAGUGGCGAAGGCGGCUUCCUGGCCUGUUCUUGACGCUGAGGCGCGAAAGCUAGGGGAGCAAACGGG
rnacentral:rRNA from 1 species